GAUCAUUAAACAUCAUUGCAGCAUGAGCUAUCCUAGAUGGAGUGAUGUAGCCCAAGCGCAUAAGGAUGAAUUAAUCGAUCGUGUUCGGCGUUCUGAAAAUGUAAAUUUGGUGGACUUCUACAAGGAAACCCACUUGUCCAAGAAGAAAGAUAAAUUUGUGACACCUGCCACCGAAGACAUUUAUGAUAUGGUAGGAAAGCUGGAUACUCUA